rnacentral:misc_RNA from 1 species
UACGGGAGGCAGCAGUGGGGAAUUUUGGAUAAUGGGGGAAACCCUGAUCCAGCCAUCCCGCGUGUGCGAUGAAGGCCUUCGGGUUGUAAAGCACUUUUGGCAGUGGAAAGAAACGGCACGGGACAAUAAUUCUUGCGCAACUGACGGUACCUUGCAGGAAUAAGCACCGGCUAACUACGUGCCACAGCAGCCGCGGUAAUACGUAGGUGCAAGCGUUAAUCGGAAUUACUGGGCGAAGCGCAGGCGGUUCGGAAAGAAAGAUGUGAAAUCCCAGAGCUAACUUUGGAACUGCAUUUUUAACUACCGAGCUAGAGGUCAGAGGGAGGUGGAAUUCGCGUGUAGCAGUGAAACGCAGAUAUGCGGAGGAACACCGAUGGCGAAGGCAGCCUCCUGGGAUAACACUGACGCUCAUGCACGAAAGCGCGGGGAGCAAACAGGAUUAGAUACCCUGGUAGU